CGAAAAGUAGUAUAAUGUAUUAUUUCUUAUUUACAUUAAGAUGAUGGCUUUUAGCCCUUUUUAA
rnacentral:tRNA from 1 species